rnacentral:rRNA from 1 species
UACAGAGGUCCCAAGCGUUGUUCGGAUUCAUUGGGCGUAAAGAGCGUGUAGGCGGCUUGGUAGGUCCGCUGUGAAAACUCGAGGCUCAACCUCGAGAUGUCGGCGGAAACCACUUGGCUAGAGUCCGGAAGAGAGAGUGGAAUUCCUGGUGUAGCGGUGAAAUGCGCAGAUAUCAGGAAGAACACCCGUGGCGAAGGCGGCUCUCUGGGACGGUACUGACGCUGAGACACGAAGGCCAGGGGAGCAAACGGG